GGGCGAAAGCCUGAAGCAGCAACGCCGCGUGUGUGAUGAAGGCCUUCGGGUCGUAAAGCACUUUUCUGGGAGAUGAGAAAGGACAGUAUCCCAGGAAUAAGUCUCGGCUAACUACGUGCCAGCAGCCGCGGUAAAACGUAGGAGGCAAGCGUUAUCCGGAUUCACUGGGCGUAAAGCGCGUGCAGGUGGCGCGGUAAGUUGGGCGUGAAAUCUCCCGGCUCAACUGGGAGAGGUCGUCCAAUACUACCGUGCUUGAGAGCAGAAGAGGAAGAUGGAAUUCCCGGUGUAGUGGUGAAAUGCGUAGAUAUCGGGAGGAACACCAGUGGCGAAGGCGAUCUUCUGGUCUGUUUCUGACACUCAGACGCGACAGCUAGGGUAGUAAACGGGAUUAGAGACCCCGGUAAUCCUAGCCGUAAACGAUGUGAACUUGGCGUUGGUGGGUUAAACUCCAUCAGUGCCGUAGCAAACGCGAUAAGUUCACCGCCUGGGGACUACGGCCGCAAGGUUA
rnacentral:rRNA from 1 species